UCUUAGGAGUUAUUGUCUUCCCCUCUAUAAUGAUGACUAAGGCAAGAUGGAACUAUUCCUGGGGUGUGAUGAGUAUGGAAGUCUGUGACUUAAUGCCAGGAUAAAGCUACCUUGGACUCAUGAGAGAGCUCAGAUCUUCAAGAGGUUUUUCAAGACAAGACCAGUAUUUCUGCUCAUGCCUCGCCAUGCUCCUGUAGCCUGUAUGAGCAUUUUAAGUCAGCAUUAGGCAGCGUUGCAUUGUACUAUAGAGGAGUACCUGGAGAGGCUGCCUCCAUGCCUGCAUCAUUUGGACACUCACACACUUGCCAGGUACAGCAAGAGCAAUGAGCACUGAUGGUGAAAGGUACAAUGUUGUCUUCCUGUGAGCUGGCUACUGCACCAGAGCACUGGUGGUUUUAGUGGAGAGUAAACAUGCUGGCAUCCAAACUAUAAGACAGAAUAAAUACAAGCAAACCUGCCUACUUGGAUGCAGGGGAAGAAUGUCCUGUGACUAUGUAACACUUAAUAAAGGAUGCUUUAAGAGGAUUUGUGGGAAUAUGUGAAGAUCAUUAUCAGAUACUUACAGGAGUGAGAAAAGGACUGUGGACUGGAGGAGCUCAUAGGACAAGUGUAUGUGUGUCCAUGUGUUCACAUACACCAGGAUUCAGCUACAACUAACAAUCUGCACAAGACAUGUUGCAAAGUGCCAUUUCAAUGCCUGAAUUUUUCAGCCUCCACAGUUUAAUUAUGUCUCAGUAUUUCUGACCUAUCUGUAGCCACUGCUUCAUCACUGCAUCAAAAAUGAGAGAUAAUGAACAAAAUAUCUGAAGAAAGAUCAAAACAACAAUUUUAUUUUUAUAUGUUCAAACCAAGUGAACUGAUGACUGAAGGAGGUAGAAAUUUACUUCCAGCAAGGUAAGGUUGAGGCAUUUUGCAAGAUACAAUGCACUAGUUUUAGCAGUGUUUCCAAUUUUAAAUUUAACAUGAAAACAAGCAGCACUGUUUAAAAAAAAAAAUAAAAAAAAAAGAAAAAAAGAGAGAAAACUUUGAUAUUACUAUUUCCAUCAGAGAUUUAACAUGGUAUUUUGACUUUUUUUUCUCUUGUGUAAUUUCUCUGUAUUAGUUUUCCAGGAAGGUAGGAAAUGCAUGACUUGGCAUGAAACACAAAAUUUACAUGAUAUUAUAGUUAUUUCUUAAUACUCUCUUAUUUAUUAGUCAAGAAAAUAAUGCUUCAUGAUGCAAUUUUUGUGGACCUUUCAGAUGUAGAAGAGGAAUUAUUAUAUGUUGUGGUUGUUUGCUUAUUGUCUGUGAAAACUUUCUUCUUUCUCUCUUUCAUAGUAAAUAUUUUUUUGGUGAU
rnacentral:lncRNA from 7 species